rnacentral:rRNA from 1 species
UACGGAGGGUGCAAGCGUUAUCCGGAUUCACUGGGUUUAAAGGGUGCGUAGGUGGGCAGGUAAGUCAGUGGUGAAAUCUCCGGGCUUAACCCGGAAACUGCCGUUGAUACUAUUUGUCUUGAAUAUUGUGGAGGUAAGCGGAAUAUGUCAUGUAGCGGUGAAAUGCUUAGAUAUGACAUAGGACACCAAUUGCGAAGGCAGCUUACUACACAAUGAUUGACACUGAGGCACGAAAGCGUGGGGAUCAAACAGG